rnacentral:rRNA from 1 species
UACGUAGGGGGCAAGCGUUGUCCGGAAUCAUUGGGCGUAAAGCGCGUGUAGGCGGCUCGGUAAGUCCGCUCUGAAAGCCCGGGGCUCAACCCCGGGAGGCGGGUGGAUACUGCUGAGCUCGAGUCCGGAAGAGGAGUGUGGAAUUCCUGGUGUAGCGGUGAAAUGCGCAGAUAUCAGGAGGAACACCGAUGGCGAAGGCAGGUCUCUGGGCCACUACUGACGCUGAGAAGCGAAAGCAUGGGGAGCGAACAGG